GUGGGGAAUUUUGGACAAUGGGGGCAACCCUGAUCCAGCCAUUCCGCGUGAAUGAAGAAGGCCUUCGGGUCGUAAAGUUCUGUCUUUAGAGAAGAAGUCUCUCUAUGUGAAUAAUGUAGAGAGGUGACGGUACCUAAGGAGGAAGCUCCGGCUAACUACGUGCCAGCAGCCGCGGUAAUACGUAGGGAGCAAGCGUUGUCCGGAAUUACUGGGCGUAAAGGGCGCGUAGGCGGAUAAUUAAGUCAGGUGUGAAAACUCUGGGCUCAACCUGGAGAUUGCACUUGAAACUGGUUAUCUUGAGGGCAGGAGAGGAAAGUGGAAUUCCUAGUGUAGCGGUGAAAUGCGUAGAUAUUAGGAGGAACACCAGUGGCGAAGGCGACUUUCUGGACUGCACCUGACGCUGAGGCGCGAAAGCGUGGGGAGCGAACGGGAUUAGAUACCCUAGUAGUCC
rnacentral:rRNA from 1 species